UGACGUUUAGGUGAAGAACAGUGAGGCGCAUGCUAUGCAGCCCAGAAACAACCUUCAAGAGCUGUUUCGGCCGCCUUUUCGAUCUUAUUUUGAGGUUGGCAUGACUCUCUACCAUGGUCACUUCUAUGUCAGCUAUAGUAGAUUGAGUCUUAUGCAACUUUUCAUUCUUGCCAACAGAGUUUUCGAAAUGAAUUGAGCUUGUUGAGUACUGUGGAAAUGUAAAGAACUCGGAGAAAGGCAGUGAAGAAACAUGUUGCUGAUUAUCACCAUCAGAAUUUUCCUUCAUUUUUUUGCAGGCACCAAGUACUUGCAUCUUUUGUUCAAGC
rnacentral:lncRNA from 1 species